rnacentral:rRNA from 1 species
AACGCGAAGAACCUUACCAGCCCUUGACAUCCCGGUCGCGGUUUCCAGAGAUGGAUUCCUUCAGUUCGGCUGGACCGGAGACAGGUGCUGCAUGGCUGUCGUCAGCUCGUGUCGUGAGAUGUUGGGUUAAGUCCCGCAACGAGCGCAACCCCCGUCCUUAGUUGCUACCAUUUAGUUGAGCACUCUAAGGAGACUGCCGGUGAUAAGCCGCGAGGAAGGUGGGGAUGACGUCAAGUCCUCAUGGCCCUUACGGGCUGGGCUACACACGUGCUACAAUGGCGGUGACAAUGGGACGCUAAGGGGCAACCCUUCGCAAAUCUCAAAAAGCCGUCUCAGUUCGGAUUGGGCUCUGCAACUCGAGCCCAUGAAGUUGGAAUCGCUAGUAAUCGUGGAUCAGCAUGCCACGGUGAAUACGUUCCCGGGCCUUGUA